UGGAUUAUAUAGAAAAACAACUGUCACACUAUGAGAAAUUAAAUACGUAUGGUUUAGAUUUCAAACAGAACAAAAAAAUUAGAAAAGUUAUUUACUAAGUAGGAAUCAGAGAAAUUUAGUUAAUGAAAUGUGCCAAAUUAUGAAGUAAGUUUGUAUUUCAAAAUUUCAUGUUGAAAAAAUUUAAAUAAAUAUAUUAACCUAGCCUGAAAUUCUCGAUUUCAGAUUUAUGGGUAGAAGUUUAAAAUAGUCUCAGACCGUCUGUCCGUAAGCAACUGUUAAUUUCAUUACAGUUAAGUGAAUUUAUAAUAAAAUUUUGGUAUUUUCGAUGAUACGAC